rnacentral:rRNA from 1 species
GUCCACGCUGUAAACGAUGGGAACUACGUGUGGGGGGUGUCGACUCCCUCCGUGCCGAAGCUAACGCAUUAAGUUCCCCGCCUGGGGAGUACGGCCGCAAGGCUAAAACUCAAAGGAAUUGACGGGGGCCCGCACAAGCAGCGGAGCAUGGGGUUUAAUUCGACGCGACGCGAAGAACCUUACCUGGGCUUGACAUGUGGAUGACCGCCGUGGAAACACGGCUUCCCUUCGGGGCAUCUUCACAGGUGGUGCAUGGCUGUCGU